rnacentral:rRNA from 1 species
AUUGAACGCUGGCGGCAGGCCUAACACAUGCAAGUCGAGCGGAUGAAGGGAUCUUGCUCCUGGAUUCAGCGGCGGACGGGUGAGUAAUGCCUAGGAAUCUGCCUGGUAGUGGGGGAUAACGUCCGGAAGCGGGCGCUAAUACCGCAUACGUCCUGAGGGAGAAAGUGGGGGAUCUUCGGACCUCACGCUAUCAGAUGAGCCUAGGUCGGAUUAGCUAGUUGGUGGGGUAAAGGCCUACCAAGGCGACGAUCCGUAACUGGUCUGAGAGGAUGAUCAGUCACACUGGAACUGAGACACGGUCCAGACUCCUACGGGAGGCAGCAGUGGGGAAUAUUGGACAAUGGGUGAAAGCCUGAUCCAGCCAUGCCGCGUGUGUGAAGAAGGUCUUCGGAUUGUAAAGCACUUUAAGUUGGGAGGAAGGGCAGUAAGUUAAUACCUUGCUGUUUUGACGUUACCAACAGAAUAAGCACCGGCUAACUUCGUG